rnacentral:rRNA from 1 species
GCUGUAAAUCUAGCCCAUCCACACUUCACACUUUCCCCUUUCCCCCACCCCCAAAACAUUGCAACUCUUUAGUAUAAGUGAUAGAAAAAGACAUUGAAGCCAUAGAUACAGUACCGCAAGGGAACAAUGAAAUAGAAAUGAAAUAAAACAUAAAAGCAUAACACAGCAAAGACUAACCCUUGUACCUUUUGCAUCAUGAUCUAGCCAGUCACCCCAAGCAAAAAGUAAUUGAAGUUUGACCCCCCGAAACUAGAUGAGCUACUCCGGGGCAGCCGCCAGGGCCAACCCGUCUCUGUAGCAAAAGAGUGGGAUGACCCCCGAGUAGAGGUGAUAAGCCUAACGAACCUAGUGAUAGCUGGUUGCCCAGGAAAAGAAUUUUAGUUCAACCUUAAAAACAUUUACAAUGCACACAUACAUAAUGCCUAUUAAGAGCUAUUCGAAAGGGGUACAGCCCUUUUGAAUUAGGAAACAGCCUAAAACCAUGGGUAAUGCUUAUAUUAAUAAAGGGCGCUAUCGCUAAAGUGGGCCUAAUAGCAGCCACCUUAAAAAAUAGCGUCACAGCUUAAGCGACACCCAACCCAAUAAUACCAAUAACUAAUCAAAACCCGCCAACACUACUGGGCCUAUCUAUGCCCACAUAGAUAUGCUCAUGCUAGAAUAAGUAACAAGAACUAAAGCAUCUCCUAAUGUGAGUGUAACCCAGACCGAAUUAAUCACUGGCAAUUAACGCUAUAGAUGAAGAAAAUGUAGCAACCACACAAGAAAACCCUACAACAAUUAUCGUUAACCUAACACAAGAACAUACCAGGAAAGAUUAAAAGACAAGGAAGGAACUCGGCAAACAUGAACCUCGCCUGUUUACCAAAAACACCGCCUCUCGCAUUACAUGUAUGAGAGGUAUCGCCUGCCCAGUGACUAUACGUUCAACGGCCGCGGUAUUCUGACCGUGCAAAGGUAGCGCAAUCAUUUGUCUUUUAAAUAAAGACUAGUAUGAACGGCUCCACGAGGGAUCAACUGUCUCCCAUGUCCAAUCAGUGAAAUUGAUUUUCCAGUGCAGAAGCUGGGAUAUUAACAUAAGACGAGAAGACCCCAUGGAGCUUAAGACAUAAGAGCAACUACAACUACUAACUACCCAAAAAGGCACAUCACACAAAAUAGAUUUGACUCCAUGUCUUAGGUUGGGGCGACCACGGAGAAAAAUAAACCUCCGAGCCGAAUGGGGCACUAAUACCCCCCUUAACCAAGAGCUACAAUUCUAAGUAAUAGAACCUCUAACGGAAUCUGAUCCAAAUAUUUGAUCAACGAACUAAGUUACCCUGGGGAUAACAGCGCAAUCCACUCCAAGAGCCCAUAUCGACGAGCGGGUUUACGACCUCGAUGUUGGAUCAGGACCCCCUAAUGGUGAAGCCGCUAUUAACGUGUUCGUUUGUUCAACGAUUAAAGUCCUACGUGAUCUGAGUUCAGACCGGAGUAAUCCAGGUCAGUUUCUAUCUAUGCAGCAACUUUCCUAGUACGAAAGGACCGGAAAAGUGGGGCCCAUGCAAAAACAAGCCCCCGUCUACUACUAAUGAAAACAGCUCAAUAAGUUAUAGACCUAAAACAAAUGCCCUAAUCUAGGGCUA